CGAGCGGCGGACGGGUGAGUAACACGUGGGUAACCUGCCCAAGAGACUGGGAUAACACCUGGAAACAGAUGCUAAUACCGGAUAACAACACUAGACGCAUGUCUAGAGUUUGAAAGAUGGUUCUGCUAUCACUCUUGGAUGGACCUGCGGUGCAUUAGCUAGUUGGUAAGGUAACGGCUUACCAAGGCAAUGAUGCAUAGCCGAGUUGAGAGACUGAUCGGCCACAUUGGGACUGAGACACGGCCCAAACUCCUACGGGAGGCAGCAGUAGGGAAUCUUCCACAAUGGACGAAAGUCUGAUGGAGCAACGCCGCGUGAGUGAAGAAGGGUUUCGGCUCGUAAAGCUCUGUUGGUAGUGAAGAAAGAUAGAGGUAGUAACUGGCCUUUAUUUGACGGUAAUUACUUAGAAAGUCACGGCUAACUACGUGCCAGCAGCCGCGGUAAUACGUAGGUGGCAAGCGUUGUCCGGAUUUAUUGGGCGUAAAGCGAGUGCAGGCGGUUCAAUAAGUCUGAUGUGAAAGCCUUCGGCUCAACCGGAGAAUUGCAUCAGAAACUGUUGAACUUGAGUGCAGAAGAGGAGAGUGGAACUCCAUGUGUAGCGGUGGAAUGCGUAGAUAUAUGGAAGAACACCAGUGGCGAAGGCGGCUCUCUGGUCUGCAACUGACGCUGAGGCUCGAAAGCAUGGGUAGCGAACAGGAUUAGAUACCCUGGUAGUCCAUGCC
rnacentral:rRNA from 1 species